rnacentral:rRNA from 1 species
CCUACGGGAGGCAGCAGUGGGGAAUUUUAGACAAUGGGCGCAAGCCUGAUCCAGCAAUGCCGCGUGAGUGAAGAAGGCCUUCGGGUUGUAAAGCUCUUUUGUCAGGGAAGAAACGGCUGAGGUUAAUACCUUUGGCUAAUGACGGUACCUGAAGAAUAAGCACCGGCUAACUACGUGCCAGCAGCCGCGGUAAUACGUAGGGUGCAAGCGUUAAUCGGAAUUACUGGGCGUAAAGCGUGCGCAGGCGGUUUUGUAAGUCUGACGUGAAAUCCCCGGGCUCAACCUGGGAAUUGCGUUGGAGACUGCAAGGCUGGAGUCUGGCAGAGGGGGGUAGAAUUCCACGUGUAGCAGUGAAAUGCGUAGAGAUGUGGAGGAACACCGAUGGCGAAGGCAGCCCCCUGGGUCAAGACUGACGCUCAUGCACGAAAGCGUGGGGAGCAAACAGGAUUAGAUACCCUGGUAGUCCACGCCCUAAACGAUGUCUACUAGUUGUCGGGUCUUAAUUGACUUGGUAACCGCAGCUACGCGUGAGUAGACGCCGNGGGAGGUACGGUCGUCGAGAGUUAAACGUUACGUAAGAAGUUAGAGNGNGNGAGNGCGAGGCGACGACGAGGAGAGG